rnacentral:rRNA from 1 species
UACAGAGGGUGCAAGCGUUGCUCGGAAUUAUUGGGCGUAAAGGGUAGGUAGGUGGUCUCAUUUGUCUGGGGUGAAAGCCUUGGGCUUAACUCAAGAAGUGCCCCAGAAACGGUGAGACUGGAGUCCUGGAGAGGGUCGUGGAAUUCCCGGUGUAGCGGUGAAAUGCGUAGAUAUCUGGAGGAACACCGGUGGCGAAGGCGGCAUCCUGGACCGGUAUUGACGCUGAGGAGCGAAAGCCAGGGGAGCAAACGGG